GGUUCAAUUACCCACGUUUGAGGUAAAACUCGGGAUUGGGUUGGAAUAAAUGGGAUGAAAACCCCAUAUUCUGAAUCCCCUCAUCGAGGGGAGAA
rnacentral:snRNA from 13 species